rnacentral:rRNA from 2 species
UACGAAGGGGGCUAGCGUUGCUCGGAAUUACUGGGCGUAAAGGGCGCGUAGGCGGAUAUUUAAGUCGGGGGUGAAAGCCCAGGGCUCAACCCUGGAACAGCCUUCGAUACUGGAUAUCUUGAGUACGGGAGAGGUGUGUGGAACUCCGAGUGUAGAGGUGAAAUUCGUAGAUAUUCGGAAGAACACCAGUGGCGAAGGCGACACACUGGCCCGUUACUGACGCUGAGGCGCGAAAGCGUGGGGAGCAAACAGG